GGUUCCCUCCGAAGUUUCCCUCAGGAUAGCUGGAGCCCAUUACGAGUUCUAUCAGGUAAAGCCAAUGAUUAGAGGCAUUGGGGACGCAACGUCCUCGACCUAUUCUCAAACUUUAAAUAGGCUGGAUGGCUCGGCUGCUUCGGUGAGCCGUGCCACGGAAUCGGGUGCUCCAAGUGGGCCAUUUUUGGUAAGCAGAACUGGCGAUGCGGGAUGAACCGGAAGCCGGGUUACGGUGCCCAACUGCGCGCUAACCUAGAACCCAC
rnacentral:ncRNA from 1 species